rnacentral:rRNA from 1 species
AACGAACGCUGGCGGCGUGGAUUAGGCAUGCAAGUCGAACGCGAAAGAGGGGGUAACUCCUCGAGUAGAGUGGCGAACGGGUGAGUAACACGUGAGAAACCUGCCUUCAGCAGGGGGAUAACACUCCCAACGGGGUGCUAAUACCGCAUGAGACCACGGAUUCGCAUGGAUCUGGGGUCAAAGGUGGCCUCUGCUUGCAAGCUACCGGCUGAAGAUGGUCUCGCGCCCAUUAGCUAGUUGGUGGGGUAAUGGCCCACCAAGGCGACGAUGGGUAGCUGGUCUGAGAGGAUGGUCAGCCACACUGGGACUGAGAUACGGCCCAGACUCCUACGGGA